rnacentral:rRNA from 1 species
CUGGGAUAACUUGACGAAAGUUAAGCUAAUACCGGAUAAGACCACGCUUCACAAGGAGUGCGGCAAAAGGAGUCUCAAACUCUGCUUGAAGAUGAGUUCGCGUACCAUUAGCUUGUUGGUGAGAUAACAGCUCACCAAGGCGACGAUGGUUAGCCGGCCUGAGAGGGUGAUCGGCCACACUGGAACUGAGACACGGUCCAGACUCCUACGGGAGGCAGCAGUGGGGAAUCUUGCGCAAUGGGCGAAAGCCUGACGCAGCAACGCCGCGUGAGCGAUGAAGGCCUUCGGGUCGUAAAGCUCUGUCAAGUGGGAAGAACAUAAUGACGGUACCACUAGAGGAAGCCCCGGCUAACUUCGUGCCAGCAGCCGCGGUAAUACGAAGGGGGCGAGCGUUGUUCGGAAUUAUUGGGCGUAAAGCGUAUGUAGGUGGUCUUUCAAGUCAGACGUGUAAGCCCUCGGCUCAACCGAGGAAUUGCGUUUGAAACUGAUUGACUUGAGUAUAGGAGAGGAAAGCGGAAUUCCCAGUGUAGCGGUGAAAUGCGUUGAUAUUGGGAAGAACACCGGUGGCGAAGGCGGCUUUCUGGCCUAUUACUGACGCUGAGGUACGAAAGUGUGGGGAGCAAACAGGAUUAGAUACCCUGGUAGUCCACACCGUAAACGAUGAAUGCCAGUCGUCGGGUAGUAUACCGUUCGGUGACACACCUAACGGAUUAAGCAUUCCGCCUGGGGAGUACGGUCGCAAGAUUAAAACUCAAAGGAAUUGACNG